CGCCGGAACGCAUGCCUAACUCAUGCAAGUCGAACGAAGGCUUCGGCCUUAGUGGCGCACGGGUGCGUAACGCGUGGGAAUCUGCCCUCAGGUCCGGAAUAACAGCGAGAAAUUGCUGCUAAUACCGGAUGAUAUCGCGAGAUCAAAGAUUUAUCGCCUGAGGAUGAGCCCGCGUAGGAUUAGCUAGUUGGUGUGGUAAAGGCGCACCAAGGCGACGAUCCUUAGCUGGUCUGAGAGGAUGAUCAGCCACACUGGGACUGAGACACGGCCCAGACUCCUACGGGAGGCAGCAGUGGGGAAUAUUGGACAAUGGGCGAAAGCCUGAUCCAGCAAUGCCGCGUGAGUGAUGAAGGCCUUAGGGUUGUAAAGCUCUUUUACCCGGGAUGAUAAUGACAGUACCGGGAGAAUAAGCUCCGGCUAACUCCGUGCCAGCAGCCGCGGUAAUACGGAGGGAGCUAGCGUUAUUCGGAAUUACUGGGCGUAAAGCGCACGUAGGCGGCUUUGUAAGUUAGAGGUGAAAGCCUGGAGCUCAACUCCAGAAUUGCCUUUAAGACUGCAUCGCUUGAAUCCAGGAGAGGUGAGUGGAAUUCCGAGUGUAGAGGUGAAAUUCGUAGAUAUUCGGAAGAACACCGGUGGCGAAGGCGGCUCACUGGACUGGUAUUGACGCUGAGGUGCGAAAGCGUGGGGAGCAAACAG
rnacentral:rRNA from 1 species